GAUGAACGCUGGCGGCGUGCCUAAUACAUGCAAGUCGAGCGAAUGGAUUAAGAGCUUGCUCUUAUGAAGUUAGCGGCGGACGGGUGAGUAACACGUGGGUAACCUGCCCAUAAGACUGGGAUAACCCCGGGAAACCGGGGCUAAUACCGGAUAACAUUUUGAACUGCAUGGUUCGAAAUUGAAAGGCGGCUUCGGCUGGCACUUAUGGAUGGACCCGCGUCGCAUUAGCUAGUUGGUGAGGUAACGGCUCACCAAGGCAACGAUGCGGAGCCGACCUGAGAGGGUGAUCGGCCACACUGGGACUGAGACACGGCCCAGACUCCUACGGGAGGCAGCAGUAGGGAAUCUUCCGCAAUGGACGAAAGUCUGACGGAGCAACGCCGCGUGAGUGAUGAAGGCUUUCGGGUCGUAAAUCUCUGUUGUUAGGGAAGAACAAGUGCUAGUUGAAUAAGCUGACACCUUGACGGUACCUAACCAGAAAGCCACGGCUAACUACGUGCCAGCCGCCGCAGUAA
rnacentral:rRNA from 1 species